rnacentral:rRNA from 1 species
GACGAACGCUGGCGGCGUGCUUAACACAUGCGAGUCGAACGGAAAGGCCCUGCUUUUGUGGGGUGCUCGAGUGGCGAACGGGUGAGUAACACGUGAGUAACCUGCCCUUGACUUUGGGAUAACUUCAGGAAACUGGGGCUAAUACCGGAUAGGAGCUCCUGCUGCAUGGUGGGGGUGGGAAAGUUUCGGCGGUGGGGGAUGGACUCGCGGCUUAUCAGCUUGUUGGUGGGGUAGUGGAUUACCAAGGCUUUGACGGGUAGCCGGCCUGAGAGGGUGACCGGCCACAUUGGGACUGAGGUGCGGCCCAGACUCCUACGGGUGGCAGCAGUGGGGAAUAUUGCACAAUGGGCGGAGGCCUGAUGCAGCAACGCCGCGUGCGGGAUGACGGCCUUCGGGGUGUAAACCGCUUUCGCCUGUGACGAAGCGUGAGUGACGGUAAUGGGUAAAGAAGCACCGGCUAACUACGUG